UUUGAUUCCUGCCAGAGGGUCUAUAUAGUUGCAUUUUUUGCAGCUGCUCCUGGUUUGGUGUAUAAACGUAUAAAAUUUACACUCGAGAUGUCCAUUUACAAAAACCCUUCAUCAUUUAGUAUCGAAUGAGGUGUCCAAAAUCCUGUAUUAUAUGUAUACCUUUUUCCUUGAUCGUGAUAUAGUCAUAAUCAAUGAUUUGUAAGCUUUUUCAGUAAUUCUUAUAUGUACAUAUUUUAUUAUAAACAUGGCUGCCGAGAGGUUCUACGCUGAACGCGGGGUAAAACUUUCCAAGGGGGGCCCUAUGACGUCAUAGUUGUAAAAUGAGAGAAGCGUGUUUUACAAUAUAUCAAUAUUAUCCGACACUAACGCAGCUAGGAUUUAUAUUCUCAGUUAAUCAAUCUUGUAUCGAGAAAUUUUAAAGGCUCCGUUGCUUUGAUGGCCCCUUUUGAUUUGGGGGGCUUGGGGCACAGUGUCCCUCGCCCCUUUUGGCGGCCCUGAUUAUAAACUAUUGCUUUAAACUGAUUUAUGCUGUACGGAUCAUGUAAAUAUUUUACAAGG
rnacentral:lncRNA from 1 species